rnacentral:tRNA from 1 species
UAUUAGAAAGCUUAUUUAUAGCAGGGGCCUUUUAAUCCUCAGAAGAUUAUAUUAUCUCUAAUAA